CGCUGGCGGCGUGCCUAAUACAUGCAAGUCGAGCGAACCGAUGAAGAGCUUGCUCUCAAAGGUGAGCGGCGGACGGGUGAGUAACACGUGGGCAACCUGCCUGCAAGAUCGGGAUAACUCCGGGAAACCGGGGCUAAUACCGGAUAAUGCAUUUCGCUGCAUGGCAGAAUGCUAAAAGGCGGCUUCGGCUGUCACUUGCAGAUGGGCCCGCGGCGCAUUAGCUAGUUGGGGAGGUAACGGCUCCCCAAGGCGACGAUGCGUAGCCGACCUGAGAGGGUGAUCGGCCACACUGGGACUGAGACACGGCCCAGACUCCUACGGGAGGCAGCAGUAGGGAAUUUUCCGCAAUGGGCGCAAGCCUGACGGAGCAACGCCGCCGUGAGUGAGGACGGCUUUCGGGUUGUAAAACUCUGUUCUUCGGGAAGAACGGCGGUCGGGUGAAUAGCCCGAUUGCGUGACGGUACCGAAGGAGAAAGCCCCGGCUAACUACGUGCCAGCAGCCGC
rnacentral:rRNA from 1 species